CCCUGCUUGCAGGGUACUCGAGUGGCGAACGGGUGAGUAACACGUGGGUGAUCUGCCCUGCACUUCGGGAUAAGCCUGGGAAACUGGGUCUAAUACCGGAUAGGAGCCAUUUUUAGUGUGAUGGUUGGAAAGUUUUUCGGUGUAGGAUGAGCUCGCGGCCUAUCAGCUUGUUGGUGGGGUAAUGGCCUACCAAGGCGGCGACGGGUAGCCGGCCUGAGAGGGUGGACGGCCACAUUGGGACUGAGAUACGGCCCAGACUCCUACGGGAGGCAGCAGUGGGGAAUAUUGCACAAUGGGCGCAAGCCUGAUGCAGCGACGCCGCGUGGGGGAUGACGGCCUUCGGGUUGUAAACUCCUUUCGCUAGGGACGAAGCUUUUUGUGACGGUACCUAGAUAAGAAGCACCGGCUAACUACGUGCCAGCAGCCGCGGUAAUACGUAGGGUGCGAGCGUUGUCCGGAAUUACUGGGCGUAAAGGGCUCGUAGGUGGUUUGUCGCGUCGUCUGUGAAAUUCCGGGGCUUAACUCCGGGCGUGCAGGCGAUACGGGCAUAACUUGAGUACUGUAGGGGUAACUGGAAUUCCUGGUGUAGCGGUGAAAUGCGCAGAUAUCAGGAGGAACACCGAUGGCGAAGGCAGGUUACUGGGCAGUUACUGACGGCUGAGGAGCGAAAGCAUGGGUAGCGAACAGGAUUAGAUACCCUGGUAGUCCAUGCCGUAAACGGUGGGCGCUAGGUGUGAGGGUCUUUUCACGACUUUCGUGCCGUAGCUAACGCAUUAAGCGCCCCGCCUG
rnacentral:rRNA from 1 species